CAAAAAGGCGAGGGAGCUCAUGCACGCAUGCAGUGAGCACUAUAUGGUUCAAAUGCAAACGCUUGUCUGUACUCCGUCUUCCACAUAUUAUGCCAACAAGCUUUAUACCUGCGACACAAUGAUCAAGAAGAUAUAUGAGAUGACGUGCUGGAGAAAUAACACACUGUUAUCCAAACAAGGGAGAAUGCAGUACGAAAAAUGCCCAUGGUGAACCCUUAUGAAGACACAGAUUAACGUGGUUAUCACAUUUACUAUUUGCAUUAAAGUGCUUUUGUAAAAUUCAGAUUGGAUUGGAAUUAUGUGCUGUGACGUGAGUCAUGCCUCACAUGUAUUUAAUACAAAGCAUGUCUUAUAUGCACUGACUUUCUUUUUUACUCUUGACAAUGUGACAGGUUCAUCACAGAUAUUUAAGCUAUUGUAACUUAUAACAAUAAUUCAUUUGACCUUAAAUUGUGUAUUUUUAGGUUUCAAUAAUAAGAAAUACUGAGUCAGGAACACAAUUGCCAAAGUAAUGUUCACAGCCGAGACAAGCUGCAUUAUUUCUCAUGUGACAAAAGUGAUCACUUACAGAUGUACUAAAGAUCGGUAUAUAUAUAUAUAUAUUUAUAUUAUAUUAUAUAUUAUAUUAUGUGAUACAUGUUUGAAACAGAAUUGUAACUUCACACAGAUUCUAAAUGAAAAAGAUUAUAGAUUUUUGUUCACUUACACACUGCAAGCUUUAUAUGUGUCACUUUGAAACAACUCUUAAUUCUUCCCAUUUCAUAUAGACAGUAAGAAGAAUAAUGAUACAUUUCAUAGUAUAGAUUUUUUUGCAUAAAUAAACGGAAGAGCUCAUCAGAACGCACAUCAUUUCUGACAGCAAUUUCAUAUACAGUAUCUUAUAUUCUAAUAUUGUAUAUUUUGUUACUGUUGUAAGUGCUGUAGCUCUAUUAAAAAAAUUAAAAUGAGAAAUGACAUAUUCUAA